UCCUUUGCCAUGUCACCCAAUACCUCCCUUGACGGCGAGAAUAUCGGAGUGGGCAAAACAGCAGGGGUCACCGGACAAGGGGAUACUAAGGAUGCGAUGCCUCCGGCUUUUUUCGCACGGAUAAUAAAAGACGUUGUGUUUCGGGGCGCAAAAGGAGCAAACCGAUUGUUGAACUUUUUCUUUGGGUGAUAGUAUUUUCGAGCUUUCAUUCGGUUUUGGGUUUGGAGUUCAUUCAGGCUAGGGGGCUUGUAACCACUGGCACCACUAGGUCCGCCGGCAGCCAAGGCGGAAUUUGAGAUAAUGGGUUUAUUUGACAUGGGCUUUUCCAUUCUUCUCUGGUCCUUGUUGAUAUUUUUGCCCUUCCAAUUAGUGUUGCUUCUGGGUUUUGAAGGGAGAAAGUUAUUACUAAUAUU
rnacentral:misc_RNA from 1 species